rnacentral:rRNA from 1 species
GAUUAACGCUGGCGGCGUGCCUAACACAUGCAAGUCGAGCGGCAGCGAGUUUUACACUGAAUUCUGGAAGCUUCUAGUUGAAAGAGAAGAUUUAUUCAAGAAUUUUGUGUAAAAUGUCGGCGAGCGGCGGACGGCUGAGUAACGCGUGGGAACGUACCCCAAAGUGAGGGAUAACGCAUCGAAAGGUGUGCUAAUACCGCAUAUGGUCUUCGGAUUAAAGCCUUCGGGCGCUUUGGGAACGGCCUGCGUAAGAUUAGAUAGUUGGUGGGGUAAUGGCCUACCAAGUCGACGAUCUUUAACUGGUUUGAGAGGAUGAUCAGUCAGACUGGAACUGAGACACGGUCCAGACUCCUACGGGAGGCAGCAGUGAGGAAUCUUCCACAAUGGGCGAAAGCCUGAUGGAGCAACGCCGCGUGCAGGAUGAAGGCCUUCGGGUUGUAAACUGCUUUUAUAGGUGAGGAUUAUGACAGUAACUUAUGAAUAAGGAUCGGCUAACUACGUG